AGGAUAAACGCUGGCGGCGUGCCUAACACAUGCACGUCGAACGUCUCUUCUUUCGGGAAGAGGAGUGGCGGACGGGUGAGGAACACGUGGGAACCUGCCCUUUAGUGAGGAAUACCGGCGAGAAAUCGCCGACAAGACCGCAUAGCCCUCUUUGAUGAGAGUCAAAGAAGGAAAGCUUCGCAAGAGGCGCUAGAGGAGGGGCCUGCGUCCGAUUAGCUAGUUGGUGGGGUAAGAGCCUACCAAGGCGUCGAUCGGUAGCUGGUCUGAGAGGACGAUCAGCCACACUGGGAUUGAGAACGGCCCAGACUCCUACGGGGGCAGCAGUGAGGAAUUUUCGGCAAUGGGGGAAACCCUGACCGAGCAACGCCGCGUGCAGGAAGACGGCCUUCGGUUGUAAACUGCUUUCUUGGGACGAGGAAGGACGGUACCAGAGGAAUCAGCCCCGGCUCACUACGUGCCAGCAGCCGC
rnacentral:rRNA from 1 species